rnacentral:tRNA from 1 species
UGCGGGGUCGUCUAACGGCAGGACAGCAGCCUUUGAAGCUGCGUAGGUAGGUCCGACUCCUACCACCGCAG